AGUAGGGAAUUUUGGGCAAUGGGGGAAACCCUGACCCAGCAACGCCGCGUGAGUGAAGAAGGCCUUCGGGUCGUAAAGCUCUGUCAGGUGUUACGAAUAAAGGCCGGUUAACCCCGGUCCUUGACCAGCGCCAAAGGAAGCACCGGCUAACUCCGUGCCAGCAGCCGCGGUAAUACGGAGGGUGCAAGCGUUGUCCGGAAUCAUUGGGCGUAAAGAGCGUGUAGGCGGUCCUGCAAGUCUGGUGUGAAAGCCCCCGGCUCAACCGGGGAAGUGCAUUGGAAACUGCGGGACUUGAGUGCGGGAGAGGGAGGUGGAAUUCCCAGUGUAGCGGUGAAAUGCGUAGAUAUUGGGAGGAACACCGGUUGCGAAGGCGGCCUCCUGGACCGUCACUGACGCUGAGACGCGAAAGCGUGGGUAGCAAACAGGAUUAGAUACCCUGGUAGUCCACGCUGUAAACGGUGAGCGCUAGGUGUUGGAGGUAUCGACCCCUUCAGUGCCGAAGCUAACGCA
rnacentral:rRNA from 1 species